rnacentral:rRNA from 1 species
AUUGAACGCUGGAGGCAGGCUUAACACAUGCAAGUCGAACGAGUGGCGGACGGGUGAGUAAUGCCUGGGAAUCUGGCUUAUGGAGGGGGAUAACUACGGGAAACUGUAGCUAAUACCGCAUACCAUCGGAUGAGCCCAAAUGGGAGUAGGUAGUUGGUGGGGUAACGGCUCAACAAGGCGACGAUCUCUAGCUGGUCUGAGAGGAUGACCAGCCACACUGGGACUGAGACACGGUCCAGACUCCUACGGGAGGCAGCAGUGGGGAAUAUUGCGCAAUGGGGGCAACCUGACGCAGCCAUGCCGCGUGAAUGAUGAAGGCCUUCGGGUUGUAAAGUUCUUUCGGUGGCGAGGCGUUAACUACAGAAGAAGCACCGGCUAACUCCGUGCCAGCAGCCGCGGUAAUAC